CGUGUAGGUGGUUUAGCAAGUCAGAUGUGAAAGCCCUGGGCUUAACCCAGGAAGUGCAUUUGAAACUGUUAUUCUAGAGUAUGGGAGAGGAGAGCGGAAUUCCCAGUGUAGAGGUGAAAUUCGUAGAUAUUGGGAGGAACACCGGUGGCGAAGGCGACUCUCUGGACCAAUACUGACACUGAGACGCGAAAGCGUGGGGAGCAAACA
rnacentral:rRNA from 1 species